CAAUCAAACUCCGUGAUAGCUGGUUCUCCCCGAAAUGCAUUUAGGUGCAGCGUCAUGUGUUUCUUGCCGGAGGUAGAGCUACUGGAUGGGCUAGGGGGCCUACAAGCUUACUGAACUCAGCCAAACUCCGAAUGCCGGCAAGUGAGAACAUGGCAGUGAGACUGCGGGGGAUAAGCUUCGUAGUCGAGAGGGAAACAGCCCAGACCACCAACUAAGGCCCCUAAGCGUGUGCUAAGUGGGAAAGGAUGUGGAGUCGCACAGACAACCAGGAGGUUGGCUUAGAAGCAGCCACCCUUGAAAGAGUGCGUAAUAGCUCACUGGUCAAGUGAUUCCGCGCCGACAAUUUAGCGGGGCUCAAGCACACCGCCGAAGUUGUGGCAUUCACACACCUGCUAGGCCUUCGUGGUCCAAGCGUGUGGAUGGGUAGGGGAGCGUCGUGUGGCGAGCGAAGCGGCCGGGUAACCGAGCCGUGGAUGCCACACGAGUGAGAAUGCAGGCAUGAGUAGCGAAAGACUGGUGAGAAACCAGUCCGCCGAAUGACCAAGGGUUCCAGGGCCAGGCUAAUCCGCCCUGGGUAAGUCGGGACCUAAGACGAGGCCGACAGGCGUAGUCGAUGGACAACGGGUUGAUAUUCCCGUACCGGCUGUACCGCGACCCUGCCGAGGCAGAGGAUGCUAAGCGUCCGAAUCCGCUGCGACCUUCGGGUCAAGGUGGAGGAGCACGCGAACCGAAUCUGUAGUAGGCAAGCAAUGGGGUGACGCAGGAAGGUAGCUCAACCCGGGCGAUGGUUGUCCCGGGGUAAGGAUGUAGGGCGAGACGUAGGCAAAUCCGCGUCUCACAUGCCUGAGAUCUGACGCCGAGCCGAUUAAGGCGAAGUGAGUGAUCCUAUGCUGCCGAGAAAAGCCUCUAGCGAGUUGUACAGCCGCCCGUACCCCAAACCGACACAGGUGGUCAGGUAGAGAAUACCAAGGCGAUCGAGAGAACUGUGGUUAAGGAACUCGGCAAAAUACCCCCGUAACUUCGGGAGAAGGGGGGCCGAUUGAUGUGACGGGACUUGCUCCCUGAGCACCGGUUGGCCGCAGAGACCAGGCCCAAGCGACUGUUUACUAAAAACAUAGGUCCAUGCGAAGUCGCAAGACGAUGUAUAUGGACUGACGCCUGCCCGGUGCUGGAACGUUAAGGGGACGGGUUAGCGACUUCGGUCGCGAAGCUCAGAACUUAAGCGCCAGUAAACGGCGGUGGUAACUAUAACCAUCCUAAGGUAGCGAAAUUCCUUGUCGGGUAAGUUCCGACCUGCACGAAUGGCGUAACGACUUGGGCGCUGUCUCAACCACAGACUCGGCGAAAUUGCACUACGAGUAAAGAUGCUCGUUACGCGCGGCAGGACG
rnacentral:rRNA from 1 species